CAAGUGAUCCGCCCACCUCGGCCUCCCAAAGUGUUGGGAUUACUGGCAUGAUCCACCACACUCGGCCUGGCUUCAUUUUCAGAAGAUUUUAGAGGGUCAAUGCUCAGCUCCCAGCUCCUGGACUGUGUGCUCUAACUCUGGAGGACUUGUAUUGGGCCCUGGCUUUGUUCUCUGACUCCUUGGGGUUAAGAAUUCACUGUGCUAAGGGGCCAUGGUGGCCCUGGACCACUCGUCACUACACUGCAAUAGGUGGUGUCAGCCAAAGUGUUUCGUAGCGGGGUGACAGUGAGAUUUGACCUCAUAGUGGCAGCUGUGUCAGAGUGCUAGCAGGUGCCAGGUUGCCUGCCCCUCUGUGGGUGUUCACACAGUGGCAGAGGCAAUGCAGCUAGGGCAGGAGGGCAGGGUAGGGGGGUGGUUGUGCUGGUGACUGUGUGGGCAGUCGCACUGGAGGUGGUGUUCGCUGGGGGUGGGACGCUGGUGGGCGCAGGUCUGGGUGCCUUCUCUAUGCUCCACAAUUAGGAGUGGUUGCUCAGGGCUGGGGAGGACCCGCUGUUCUCUAUGCAAUGCUAGCGUAAGGGUGAUGCACUGACAGAGGUGGGGCUGGCUGGCUUUGUGCCCACCAAGGCUCCAUCUGCAAUGAUGGUUGGUGACGGCGGGGGCUGGGGGUGAGAGACUGCACUCCCCCAUGCUGGUGGGGCAAGGAAAGCAAAAUCUGCGUGUGCAGUCAUGCACCAGCAAAGCUAUGUUGGGAGAUGUGGUGGGCCCACAGGAAGCUACAGUAUGGGGAGGGAGCGUGUGGGCUGGUGUGUGGCCGUACAGGCCACCCCAUCGUAGCUCUCCACUGGUCAAGCAUGGUCCACAAGUGCAGAAGGUAUGAUACCCCCCCAGGGCACCCUAGACUGCCCUACAAGCAGGUGUGAACAGGCUGGGGCCCUGGGAGAGGCCAGCAUACCAAGGAGCGCUCAAGUUGGACUGGCUCCAUCUGAUCGGCAAGAUCACCCUGCAGAGUUCAGUUUCUACAGCUCCCCUAGAACUAACGUCUCCUAUGGGAGCAAGGAGAGCCUAGGGGGAUAGCCGUCCCUAGCUGUACUCCACUACAGACGCUCCCACAUCAAACCCUCUGGGCUCCACAUCAGCUGGUGUGCUGCCUCUACCACUUCUCUAAGCAGCUCUCCCUGCCAACUCGAGUGUCAGUGGUGGUCAAGGUAUCUUCUCCUGCCAGGGUUCCAGAGGCCCAUGGCAAGAACAGGUUCCUCCUUGCCAGUUCAACUCACUCAUUUCCCCAGAGCCAUUGGGCGCCAGGAACAAGUCCCGGUGUUCCUGGCCCUAUACAGGAUUCCCAGCUUUCUCCUGCUUCAGCCCAGCUUCUGUGUCUUCCCUCCAUCCACUCUCAGUGCCUUCCCUCUGAAGAUCUGUUAGGAGCAUGCCAGUUGUCUCAGUCCCUUGGUGGGAGCUGUUCUACCUGGCUGUGUCUAGUGGACCAUCUUCCCUCCCCCACUUUACUCAUAAAUUGACUCUUUCCCAUAAUAAUCUUCAGUUCUCCUCCCCUUUAUUUUCAAAUUUCCAUCUUGGGCCAUUUUCCCUCCAUUUAAAAAGCUCCCUUUAGUAUUUAUUUUACUGUAAGCCAAUUGGAAACAAGUUUCUUUGGUUUAUUUUUUAAUGUCUUUUUCUUGCUUUCAUUUUUGAAAGACAUUUUCACUGAGUAUAGUAUUAUAAGUUGUCAGUUUAUUUUUUUCUGCACAUUACAAUGUCACUUCUUUGUCUAGUAGAAAGGCAUCUGUCAAUCCUUCUAUUGCUCCUUUGAAGGCAAUGUGUAUUUUUUCCCCAGAGCUUCUUUUAAGAAUGUCUCUUUGAUCUUUGUUUGUCAGCAGUUUCGCUAGAUGGAUCAACAUGUGGUUUUGUUUUGUAUUUAAAUUGCCUGGUGUUCAAAGAAAUUUUUGAAUCUGUGGUUUUUUUAAACCAAUUUUUUGUAAAUUGUUAGUAUUUCUUUAAAUACUUCUUCUGCCUUCUCUCUUUCUUGAAGACUCCAAUUACACAUAUGUAAACCUUUUCACAAUGUUCCCUGUAUCUUUUAUGUUUUUUCCCUACAUUUUCCAUUAUAUUUUUUCUCUGUGAUUCAAUUGGAAUUUUUUUUUCCUGAGAAGUUUUCCAGUUCACUAAUUCUCUCAGCAGUUGUUAAACCCAUGUACUAAAUUCUUAAUUUUAAUUAAUUAAUUGUUUCUUUUAAUUAAAUAAUAGCGUUUGGGAACUAAAUCCACAUACCAUGAAAUCUUUUACAGUGUAUAAUUCAGUAGUUUUUUAGUAUAGUCCUAGAGUCAUACAACCAUCACCACUAUCUAAUUUCAGAACAUUUUCAUCAUCCCCAAAAGAAACUCCAAGCACAUUAGCAGUCAUCCCCUAUUCUCUCCUCUCCCAGACCCUGGCAACCACUAAACACUACUUUCUGUCUGUGUGGAUUUGCCUAUUCUGGACAUUUCAUAUAAAUGGAAUCAUACAAUAGGUAGCCUUUUACGACUGGCUUCUUUCACUUGGCAUUUGUUACCAAGGCUCAAUCAUGUUGCAGCAUGUGUUGGUACUUCAUUCCUUUUUAUGGCAGAAUAGUAUUCCCAUGUAUAGAUGUAUCACAUUUUGCUUAUCCAUUUAUAAGUUGAUGGACAUUUUGGUUGUUUCUACUUUUUGGCUAUUAUGAAUAAUGUUGCUAUGAACAUUGCUGUACAAGUUUUUGUGUAGAUAUAUGUUUUCAAUUCUCGUGGGUAUGUACCAAGGAGUGGAAUUUCUGGGUCAUAUAGUAACUAUGUUUAACAUUUUGAUAAACUGCCAAACUGUUUUUCAAUGUUUCAGCACAAUUUUGCACCCCCAGCAAGGUACGAGGGUUUAAAUUUUCCACAUCCUGGCCAAACUUUGUUACUGCCUUUUUUAUUUUAGGCAUAUUGGUGGGUGUGAAGUGGUGUUUCAUUGUGGUUUUGGUUUGCAUUUCCCCAAUGACUAAUGAUGUUGAGCAUUUUUAUGUGCUUAUGAAUCAUUUGUAUGUCAAUUAAUUUAUCUCUAAGUUCUAAAAGUUUCUGAUAGAUUCGAAUAGAUUGCAGGUCUUUGAUGAAAUUCUCCAUUUUGUCAUCUUUUUUAAGGAUGAUUAUCCUUUUUUAAGGAUGAUUAUAAAAUAACCACAAUUAUUUUAUAGCCUGUGUCUGAUAACACCAAUAUCUCAAUCUUCUCUAAGUCUAAUCUGUUUCUGUUUUUUACUUUUUAUUUUCUGUCACUUGGUUCUAUUUAUUGACAUUACCUAGAGAUUUUUACUCAGAUGCUAGACAUUGUAUAUGAAAAAUUAUAGAAGCUCUGUGUGAUGUUUUCCUUCUUCAAAGACAAUUUAAUUUUCUUCUGGCAGACAGAGUAGGGGCAGAUCACCCUAAUCCAAUUAGGUAAUUUGAUACUUUGAGGCUGGGUUUUAGGUUUUUUGAGGCUAGUUUAUUUCUGCUUUGCCCUUACUCCUAUCUGCAGUCUGUCAGAAGUCUCAGCUGAAAGUGUGGAGGUAUUUUUCAAAGCUUCAACUCUUUGCUAGACUGACCUCCAAUUUUUGACUCCUCAGCACAAUGAGACUUUCA
rnacentral:lncRNA from 10 species